GACAGAAAGACCCUAUGAAGCUUUACUGUAGUCUGAAAUUGAAUUUGGGUUUAUUUUGCGCAGAAUAGGUGGGAGGCUAAGAUAAUAUAUUUGAGGAUAUAGAGGAGCCACCAGUGAGAUACCACUCUGAUUAAACUAGAAUUCUAAUCUUACCGCCGUUAUCCGGCUAAGAGACAUUUUCAGGUGGGCAGUUUGACUGGGGCGGUCGCCUCCUAAAAGGUAACGGAGGCGUGCAAAGGUUCUCUCAGGCUGGUCGGAAAUCAGUCGCAGAGUGUAAAGGCAUAAGAGAGCUUGACUGUGAGACCUACAAGUCGAACAGAGACGAAAGUCGGCCUUAGUGAUCCGACAGUGCUGAGUGGAAAGGCUGUCGCUCAACGGAUAAAAGUUACUCUCUAGGGAUAACAGGCUGA
rnacentral:rRNA from 1 species